AAGCCACACUUCUUUCCCACCCCCAGUACUUCUGUUUGUUUCUGUAGCAGCAGUGUACACCAAUUCUCCUGUAUAUUGCCUUUUUGCUGGAAAAUGUUGUAUGUUGAAUAAAAUUUUCUAUAAAAAUUAUAAUCCGAUGACUGCUGUGGAAGCCGAGGGUGACUGCUCCCCUGGGAGCUUUGCGUUGAGCCAGGCUUUCAGCCGCCACAUGCUUUCUCACCUGGCCUUUUCCUUUGGGUGGCAGUUUUUAUUUUCUUUUUGAGACAUGGUUUUGCCCUACAGGCCUGAAGCUUGCUGUGUAGACCAGGCUGAUCUUGAACGCACAGAGGUCCACCUGCCUCCGCUUCCCAAGUGUUGGGUUUAAAGGUGUGAGCUCGGCUCCUGGCUUCCCAUUUGGAGCUUGAGGGGUAAGGGUUUGUAAGGUGUGGUGGCAGUUAGGAGGCUGGGGGAGGAGCGGCAAGUCAGCCUGUGCUACGCAGACAGACCCUGACAAGAAGUUGGAAUGUAGCUGGCGCCACAGAACUUGUCUAGUAUGUGCAAGGCCCUGGGCUUCAUCCCCAGUAUCUAAAGAAAAUGCAAGCAUCCUCAGGUGGAAUUCCUUGGAGUCUGUAUUCAGACUGAGGAAGUGUAGGGCCUCUGCAUGAGGCGUCUGGGGGAGGCCACUGGUGUGCUGUGGGUUACCUCGGGCCUCCUGGUUCUGAGCCAGUCUGUAACCCGACUUCCUUUCUCUGUUGCACUAUGAAUUGUGUGCCUUCUGAUAACUUAUUGUAUCCAGAUGAGUGGGGAAAGCAGCACAUCGUGGGGGGCCAGGUGGGCCUCGAUCCUGCUGGGCCCUUUGGCCUGUAAAUGAGAAGUUACAGGUAGUAACAGGCAAGACAAUGAGGACUGCUCACCCAAUGUUGGCCUUUGAACCCCAAGGUGUUCCUGUUUCAGGGUUUGUUGGGGUUGCUCAGACUUAGAUACCCACAAUUUUUAUUCUCCCUUAAAUAUUAAAUGACUAUUUUUC
rnacentral:lncRNA from 1 species